rnacentral:rRNA from 1 species
GCAAGUCGAACGAGAUCUUCGGAUCUAGUGGCGCACGGGUGAGUAACGCGUGGGAACCUACCUUUUAGUACGGGACAACGUUUGGAAACGAACGCUAAUACCGUAUACGCCCUCCGGGGGAAAGGUCAGCCGCUGAAAGAGGGGCCCGCGUCUGAUUAGCUUGUUGGUAGGGUAACGGCUUACCAAGGCUACGAUCAGUAGCUGGUCUGAGAGGAUGAUCAGCCACACUGGGACUGAGACACGGCCCAGACUCCUACGGGAGGCAGCAGUGGGGAAUAUUGGACAAUGGAGGCAACUCUGAUCCAGCAAUGCCGCGUGUGUGAUGAAGGCCCUAGGGUUGUAAAGCACUUUCAACGGUGAAGAUGAUGACGGUAGCCGUAGAAGAAGCCCCGGCUAACUUCGUGCCAGCAGCCGCGGUAAUACGGAGGGUGCAAGCGUUGAUCGGAAUUACUGGGCGUAAAGCGCGCGUAGGCGGUUUUUUAAGUCGGAUGUGAAAGCCCCGGGCUCAACCUGGGAAUUGCAUCCGAUACUGGAUAACUAGAAUGCGGGAGAGGGAGGUAGAAUUCCAUGUGUAGCAGUGAAAUGCGUAGAUAUAUGGAGGAAUACCAGUGGCGAAGGCGGCCUCCUGGCUCGACAUUGACGCUGAGGUGCGAAAGCGUGGGGAGCAAACGGGAUUAGAUACCCCGGUAGUCCACGCCGUAAACGAUGUCUACUAGCUGUAGGGGUACUUGAGACCUUUGUAGCGCAGCUAACGCAAUAAGUAGACCGCCUGGGGAGUACGGCCGCAAGGU